UUUUGUUCUUCCUUCCUGUCUCGUUCUCGUCUCUAAAUCUCUGCUUUUCUCUCGUUCUCUCCCCCCUUACUACUACCAGAAACAUCGUUAUCAUCAACUUCAUAAACCCCCAAAUCCUUUUCCCUAUUUUCUUUCAAAACCCUAGAAAUCUCUUUCUGUUUGAAGAUCCACCAAACCCAAAACCUAAUGGUCGUCGUUCAAAAAGAAGAAGAUAGAAAACAUCUUGGAACUAGGGGUCAAUACAAAGGGGUUUGUUUGUUUAUUUGAUAUAUGUUGAUUGUGUAAAUGAAAUUUCAAUAAAUAGGUCAGGAUAAGAUUAUAGUUUUGAAGUUCUAAUUGAAUUUGAUUUGUUAAAGGCAGAGAUGGGGUUCUAGGUCUGCUGUAAAGAGUUGGAUAUCACUCUACUUGUUACAGGAACUUGCAGGCUAAAUGAUUGCAGGGAAUGAGCUAUGUAAGAUUACAAACAAGCAGCAAACUGAUUCAUUGACAUUUGAGGGGUUAGACCAAAUUUGGAAAGUUGUGGAGGAUAGUGACGUAGAUUUUGUGCUUUGUCUUGGUUGGAACAAGAAACUUAAGCAAGCUUCAAAAUAUUGGGGUUAGAUAGUAUCUUUGGCUAAAACAUUAUUAACAUGUGCUCUUGAUCAAGCAUCACUGGUUUUCCCUCUUUGGUCCAUUUUAAGGAGUAAUCGCUAUUACAGUCGAAGAAGAAGAUGAUAUUGUAAAAUUUUCUGAUUACAAAGCUUCGUCAACGGCAUCUAGUGGAGGGGCGAAAAGCUCACCUGAACCUUCUCCACCAAAAAAGAGGCGGAGCCCGUGAGCUCGCCUGAGCUAACAAGUUCAGUGGCUGCUGAACCUCCUCAAUCAGAAGGUCGCAGUUUUGCUCUCCCUCUUGCAAAAAAACUGGCUGAAGAUUGAAGAGAACAACGUGCCUAUUUCAAGCGUUAAAGGCACAGGUCCUGAUGGAAGUAUUGUGAAGGAUGAUAUUGAUGACUACUUGGCUAGCAAGGCAUCAACCUCCAAGGAUAAAGCUACAACACAUGCAUCUAAUUUGGAUUACACCGAACUUCCACACAGUCAAAUAACAAAAGUAAACUUUUUCUUUUGUAUGCCUUAACGUUAAGUGGGACAGAGCUGUAGCUGAUAUAUCUACUUUUGCAGAUCACAGCUUCACAUCUGCUACAAUUAAAACAAACUAUUCCUCAUUAUUAUUUGACUGUUGAUUCUUGUGUCGACAAACUAAUGGAGUGAGUAUCAGUUGUGAAAAACAAAGUUUUAUGUUUCUUCUGUUCUUGUGAUGUGGGUGCUCCUUAGGUAUGGUUAUUUUCCUGAAAGAUUGAGAAGCCAACUUAAUUCCUUCCAAGAAGAUUCUGGUGGGAAACAGAUAUCAGUUAAUGAUCUUGUAGUGAAGGCUGCUGCUUUGGCUCUUCGCAAAGUUCCUCAAUGUAACAGUUCCUGUACAAAUGAUUAUAUCUGCCAGUUCAAAACCAUCCUCUGAUGGAUCUGGGAGGAGAAUAAGAGAAGUUGCAUGUCCUACUUGCACCGUCCAUUUGCGGUAAAACGAUGGCUCACUAUAGCUCCCGUUGCACCCACAACCCUCUGGUACCAACUCCAUUGUGUUUUGUCUCAGCCAAUGUAUGUCAUGGCUGGACGAGAUUACUGGAACUCUUCGUAUGGUUUCUCAAAAUGCACAGAGUUAUACCGUUUACUUAACCAUGUCAGGGUGCUUUGGAAAAUCCUUCUUUUAUCCUACUUUUCGAAAGCUCUUCCUGUAGAGGUUUUCUUACAGUGGGGCUACCUCCUCUUUCGCGAACACUAGAAUCUAACUGGUAAGGCGUUAGUGAGAUCUUUGAUUUCAGCUGCAUCUCUAUCUUAGCAGCUUUCUGUAAUAAACAUGAAAAAUGGUGAGGUGGCGCUUGUGAGUCUGGCUAUAAAACCAAAUAUGCUUUUGGAUCUCCAUAGUCUCGGCAAGAACUCGCCGUUGUUCCUCCUGGUUCAAUCAUCUCUUACUGAAGUUGGCUUGUAUCUUUCGUUAAGACGUUAUGUACGACAUGGGAUAGAAUCCUGGGACAUGGACAAUGGUGAGAACAUUGUGUUGCUGGCAAAAAGAAGAAAGAAGGUAGUGCAAGAUAUAUGGGACCAAGUAUUCAAAACCUGUAAGCAUGAUGGACGGUUUCCUGAGGUUGGCGCAAGCAAAUACAAAGAAAUAUUUAGAAACAUGUGGGGUUCUUGCUGGUAAACCGAAAAACAGAGUAUUCCAUAUUACAACACUGAUAAUUCCAAAGCAGGAGGCAACUUAGGACUCUAAGAAAUUUUCGAGUUUCAAGACAAACUCUUCCUUUUCCCCCUUGGGUGGAUUCAUGCAAGCACAUCCUUCACAGACUUGCUUUAUGUCUUCAGUUGAUCUUCAUACACAUUAUUCAUACCAGAUUUUGAGCAGCUUCAUUGGGCGUGCGACAUCUAACACACUGCUCUUGCUGGUUCCUCCAGUUGAAAUGCCUCACAACCCAUGGUACUUAAACUUCAAGCACCGGGCAUACCUCAUGCGGCAGAGAAUGUUCACCUGGUUAGCUGGUUCCAGCAGACCAAUGUGAGAGUUCUUAUUUCUUUAGAUCAUUUUGUAAGAACCUUAGUGUGAUACUGAAUAUUUAUAAAAAUAUCCACAUGAUAUGAUUUUUGUGAUGUGCUUCAUACUUUUUGGUGUAUAUGGACUGCAUCAUGGUAUAUCAUUGUGAAUUAACUCUAAGAGUACG